AGGUCUCUGGAAAAAUUGUAGAGAAAUUAUCAGUCCUUCACCUGACUUUAAAGGACCCUUCAGUUUGUAGAAGGGGCUCAGAAAAAGAGCUGAUGCAGGUCUUGGCACUGUGCCAGUCAUAGAUGAAGGGACAAAAACAACCUAAGAGGCCAGGAAGUUUAUUCCUAUGAAAUGUUGCUUCUCCAAAGGCCAUCUCAACUCGAUUACACAUUUUCCAAAUAAAAUCUCUUAUAUAAAAGCUUUUCUUGGGGUUUAUCUUUCUCGAAAGUGAUAUAACUUCAGAUAGAAGCUGAUUUGACCAACCAAAUGACUUUGACUCAGUCUUCUGGUUGAUCAUUAUCAUGUAAGAAAACUCAG
rnacentral:lncRNA from 1 species